UAAUUAAACCUGAAUAAUUAAUAUAAAAUCCUAAUAAGAAGAUUACAUUUGCUAAUUAGUCUUGUAGCUUACCAAAAGGCUAAAUGAAUGCACAUUCACACAAAAUAACAUAAUUACUACAUUAUAUUUCUUCUGAUGCACCUCAACCAUCUACUUUGCUUUGUUGUGUUCUUGUUGGAGGGGCUGUCGGGUUAACAGCAGGACGAGCUUGAACCGGAUAACCGUGACGAGGAGCAGUGCCGUAGAAAUGCUUAGUUUCUCUUAACAGAUUGAUAUCCUUGUGUUGAACACUGCCUAGUCCAUAGAUAUACUCGUUUUAAGACUUACCACACAGUGAAAGAAACAAAAGAAAUAAGAGUCAAGCAACGUUCAUAAUCAAACACAAUAUCAGAUGAAUAUAGCAAACUGAACUCACCAAAACAUAUGAGAAUUAAUUCAAAUUCAAAAAAACUUAUAAAACAUACUGCACCAAUUCAAAAUCAAACAAAUUAUAAACUAAACUGCACCAAUUCAAAUGAAACAAAGUAUAAACAAAAACUGCACCAAUUCAAAAUGAAACAAACGAUUAACCAAACUGCAGUAAUUGAAAAUCAAACAAAUGAGUACCUUGAGAUAUUCUUUGUUCAGCACAACUCGAGAGAGUAUAACACCAGAUGAGGCAGUUUGGCUGAGACCAUUGAAAUAAUCAUCUUCUUCCAUAAUCUUGCUCGAGGAGGAAGCCUUCUAUGCUGCACUGUGUUUUAAAUGGCGCGAGGCGACGUAAGGCGAUGAAGGGCUGGUUUGAGCCCUGAGCCUAGGCGCACUUCACUCCGAGCCUUUGGUAUCUGAGGCGCAACUACACAAGAAAACAUAAAGUUAGUUAUAUUCAUUGAUCUCUAAACCAUGUUAGCACCAUGUGUGAGUUUAAAACCAUGUAAGACCCAAUAAAAAUGUGCAUCAUCGUUUAAAGAACAGAGAAAGAGCAAUAGUUGAAGCCAUAAGUCUGAAACAGAGAAUAAAAGAAAAACAAAGAGGUUGUUAAAAAGAUUAACGUGAAAAGGUUUAUCCAAAUUGCGAAGACUCUUUAGGUUUUUUAGGAAUAGCUGUAGCAGCAAUAAUGUAAUAAUGUUCACAGGAAAUUAAUUUUUGGAAACAUAAAAAGCAAGUAAAUAUUAUGUUUAACAAUAAUUACCUUUUAUUUUCAUAGGCGCAAAGCGACGAGAGGUGCGUUUGAUACCACGGCGUCACGGAGCGACAGCCUUUGGGCCAGAGCCUAGCCUCAUCUAUUAGAGGAGAUGAACCUUUAACCUUACCUCGCCUCGAGCCUAGGCGUCGCCUUUUUAAACACAACUUGCACCUUUUGUAAUAGAACUUGAAAAACAAGAGAAAGAAAGAAUCAGUUUAAAUCAUCAUCUCAAACACAAGUUAAAAUCAAAGCUUGAAAUCCUAACACUUAAUUAGUUUAAAACUUUUAUUAGAACACAACAGAGACUUUAAACAAAUGAAGUAAAGACACAAGAAAAUAGACUGAACAGAUCCUAGUUGUCAUACGAGAUCCGGCUUAUGAACUAUAUCCAAUCGAUUUAUUAGAACACACAUAGACAAAGAACACAUGAAGUGAAGACACGAGAGUUAAGCAACUAACCAGAUACAGCUUAGCAACUAGAAUGAAGACACAAGAGUUAGGAAACUAACCAUAUCUACUAGAAUCAUGUGUGCAACACCAAACCAAACAUGCAUGUGAAGAGACACGAAUCUCCAGAAAUUAAUAACAAAUGAAGAACACAGAGCAAACACUAGAGCAAACACAUAAAACAUCGUCUCAAACUAAACUUAAACAAAGCUUGAAAUCUCUUUGAAAGAGAAAAAUCAAAUUGUGCUUACAUCAAACACAUCUGAAGUUUAUAAUUCGGACAUAUCAAAUAAAAAACAUUAUCUGAAAGACUGAAACUAAGAACCAAUCAAAGCUUAACCUAGAAAAAUGAGAGAAAUCAAGAUUAAAAAUCAUCUGAAGUUU
rnacentral:lncRNA from 1 species